GUGGGGAAUCUUAGACAAUGGGCGCAAGCCUGAUCUAGCCAUGCCGCGUGAGCGAUGAAGGCCUUAGGGUUGUAAAGCUCUUUCGUGGGGGAAGAUAAUGACUGUACCCAAAGAAGAAGCCCCGGAUAACUCCGUGCCAGCAGCCGCGGUAAUACGGAGGGGGCUAGCGUUGUGCGGAAUUACUGGGCGUAAAGCGCACGUAGGCGGACUGGAAAGUCAGGGGUGAAAUCCCGGGGCUCAACCCCGGAACUGCCUUUGAAACUCCCAGUCUAGAGUUCGAGAGAGGUGGGUGGAAUUCCGAGUGUAGAGGUGAAAUUCGUAGAUAUUCGGAGGAACACCAGUGGCGAAGGCGGCUCACUGGCUCGAUACUGACGCUGAGGUGCGAAAGCGUGGGGAGCAAACAGGAUUAGAAACCCGAGUAGUCC
rnacentral:rRNA from 1 species